rnacentral:rRNA from 1 species
GGGUAACCUGCCUGUAAGACUGGGAUAACUCCGGGAAACCGGGGCUAAUACCGGAUGGUUGUUUGAACCGCAUGGUUCAGACAUAAAAGGUGGCUUCGGCUACCACUUACAGAUGGACCCGCGGCGCAUUAGCUAGUUGGUGAGGUAACGGCUCACCAAGGCAACGAUGCGUAGCCGACCUGAGAGGGUGAUCGGCCACACUGGGACUGAGACACGGCCCAGACUCCUACGGGAGGCAGCAGUAGGGAAUCUUCCGCAAUGGACGAAAGUCUGACGGAGCAACGCCGCGUGAGUGAUGAAGGUUUUCGGAUCGUAAAGCUCUGUUGUUAGGGAAGAACAAGUGCCGUUCAAAUAGGGCGGCACCUUGACGGUACCUAACCAGAAAGCCACGGCUAACUACGUGCCAGCAGCCGCGGUAAUACGUAGGUGGCAAGCGUUGUCCGGAAUUAUUGGGCGUAAAGGGCUCGCAGGCGGUUUCUUAAGUCUGAUGUGAAAGCCCCCGGCUCAACCGGGGAGGGUCAUUGGAAACUGGGGAACUUGAGUGCAGAAGAGGAGAGUGGAAUUCCACGUGUAGCGGUGAAAUGCGUAGAGAUGUGGAGGAACACCAGUGGCGAAGGCGACUCUCUGGUCUGUAACUGACGCUGAGGAGCGAAAGCGUGGGGAGCGAACAGGAUUAGAUACCCUGGUAGUCCACGCCGUAAACGAUGAGUGCUAAGUGUUAGGGGGUUUCCGCCCCUUAGUGCUGCAGCUAACGCAUUAAGCACU